GAUGAACGCUGGCGGCGUGCCUAAUACAUGCAAGUCGAGCGAACAGACGAGGAGCUUGCUCCUCUGACGUUAGCGGCGGACGGGUGAGUAACACGUGGAUAACCUACCUAUAAGACUGGGAUAACUUCGGGAAACCGGAGCUAAUACCGGAUAAUAUAUUGAACCGCAGGGUUCAAUAGUGAAAGACGGUUUUGCUGUCACUUAUGGAUGGAUCCGCGCCGCAUUAGCUUGUUGGUAAGGUAACGGCUUACCACGGCAACGAUGCGUAGGCGGCCUGAGAGGGCGGCCGGCCUCAGUGGUCCUGCGAUAGGGCCCAGGCGCCUACGGGAGGCAGCAGUGGGGAAUAUUGCACAAUGGUCGGAAGCCUGAUGCAGCAACGCAGCGUGCGGGAUGACGUGCUUCGGGUUGUAAACCGCUUGCGACUGUGCCGAAGCGUGAGUGACGGUAAUGGGUAAAGAAGCACCGGCUAACUACGUG
rnacentral:rRNA from 1 species